CCAAUAGCGUAUAUUAAAGUUGUUGCAGUUAAAAAGCUCGUAGUUGAAUUUCGGGAUCAAUAUUUCGGUCAUGCCGUUGGUAUGCACUUUUAUCAUUGAUUUCUCACCUUCUAAAGAACCGUAAUGCCAUUAAUUUGGUGUUACGGGGAAUUAGGACUGUUACCUUGAAAAAAUUAGAGUGUUUAAAGCAGGCUCACGCUUGAAUACAUUAGCAUGGAAU
rnacentral:rRNA from 1 species